rnacentral:misc_RNA from 1 species
GCAGAAUGCUCUCAGAAUGGUUUCUUUUAUUAAAGAGUGAAGAUGAAAAGAGUAUAUGCAACGGUUCUUGCUCCAAGCUCAGAUUCAAGGAGUUCAUAAAUUACAAUGGAGAUACGAUUAACCUCUAAGUAUUCAUAUGGUACGCUUAACUAUAUUAUCUGUUAAUUUGUUGAGCACUAUGAAAAAAUUGGUAAAUUAAUUUGAGCAUCUCAAUUUGUAUAUGGUACUACAGUAAAAUAAUUGCCCGAGGAAAAUGUAACCUUCGGGGCUUUAAAGGGCUUUCUUCACUUGGAAAUAGUUGGAGCACUCCUUGUUGGCAGCCUCAACAUCCUCCGGCGAAACUACAGCAACCACAACCCCUUUAUUCUUAACUGCAUCAAUUGCAUCAGCAAAUUCCUUGAAGUCCUUCAAGCUGGUUGAUAGUAUCUCUUCCCUUCUCUUUUGUCUUUCUUCUUCUGUGAUACCCAACAAAUACCGCAACAAACUACUGUAACCCUUAGCAUCUGGCAGCUGAUACGCAUCCACAUCUCCAAUGGUCCCAAUAAUUGAUUUAGUAAGAGUGUCAUCAUCUAUUUCUAACUCACGUAGAAAAUCACCAGUUCCAUCAUAUACAUCAAGUGUCUUCAGCAAGUUGGGGUCCCGAUAGGAUAAGAAGGAGAAUACACCUGAGUGAGUAUCAAAGUCGCAAAACCCUCCAUAUGCUCCACCACUUACACGCACUCGAUCCCACAACCAUGUAUUACUAAUGUACUUUGAAAUAACAUACGCACUCCCACUAAGCUGAUAUCCAGUGUCAUAAAUAUUAGCAGCUUUGCCAACAUAGUUAACCUGCGUAGGUAUCACAAUAGCUUCAUUUCCAGGUGAAAUUCGAGAAUUCCAAGUGGCAGUUUCGGCAAAAGAGUUGCUAGGAAGUGAGUCAAGAAACUUGCCAACAUAUUUUUCUGAGUUUGUAAGAUUUUUCCCAUCAGUGGUCAAGUUUAUCAAGCAGCCAUUCCUUGACAACAAGGAUGCACGAAUCUCCUCGAGAGAUGAAGAAACUCCAGACCAAUCUUGAUCAACUCUCUCCUCUAGGUCUUGUAAAAACUCCAGGUAGCUUAUGCCACCCAUUUGGUCAGAAAUCCACCCUGCAACAUUUAAUUUUGCAUCCAUCCUUGCAGCUGCAAUUCCAUGACCACUGCCUCUCAAUCGGUUCUCCAUUCUUGCUUUACUUUGGGAUACAAACUGCUUAAAACGCUGUUGGUCUGUAAACUGUACUUCUUGAAGUACACAAUUAACCAGGUUAAAUAAGUCUUCAGCUCGCCCUGCCAUUGCUUUUCCACGAACUAUUAUAUGGCCACACGGUUCCUCCUGGCCCCGAAUAGAUGAUGUGAAUGGAUAAACUGAUAUUCCCCCAGUUUUUCUCCCAAUCAACUGAUUAAGUUGUACAAAGGUAUAAUCUUUUGUACCCAUCUCAAGCAGUGACUGACAGAAAAGUGGCAUUAAAGAAAGGAGUUCUUGCUUCAGUGAUCUCAUAUUAAAUACAACUUCAGCAUAAAGGACAUCAUUAGUGAAGAGGUCAUGCCGCAAUACUUUCACUCCAUGGAUAUCCCCAACCUCUGUAGGAACAUGUAUAGGUUCUCUAGGAAUAUCCUUAAGAGAUAGACUUGGCACAGUUUUCAAAGCUUCUGGUGGAUCAGGAGUUUCCUGCUUCAAUCUUAGUUCCUGUGUUGCACGUGCAAGCUCAGCAAGAUCUUCUUCUGUCAUGCUAGCUUUCAAUUUCUCCAAGAUUUCUCUCUCAGCAGCCUCAUCACAAGUAGCUUUUUCUGGAUCAGGCCGCAUCUCUACAGUUACUCGAUGAGGAUUGUUCAAGAUGAAUUUCUCAAUUAGAGGAGAAAAAACAGCUUUAGAACCUUCCUCUGCUAUUCUAGCUUUGAGGGCCUUCAAAGGUUUCUCAUAUUUUAAAGGUUCAAAGGGAUCCCUAUCAUAUAUCCACUUACCAAUGGAUCGAAGCAUCAAUGAUAAGCCUCGAGGAAAUGAGCCAGUGUUGUUUUCCCUGAGAGAGAACUCAAUUGUAUUCAUGGAUGCCUCAACAGCAUCUGUCUCAAAUCCUUCCUCAGAUAAUUUCUUAAGCGUACUCAUGAUUAAUUCUUCUACCUUGUGAAUGUCUUCUUCAGAAACACCCUUCAAUCCAAUACUAAAUUGGGGCUGUAGCAGCUCAUCUUCAAUCCCACCACCAACAAUGGCAUCUCCCAGGCCACUUUCCAGCAAGAU